AAAAAGAUAAGCUAAUAAAGCUAUUAGGUUCAUACCCUAAUUAUAGAAGUAAAACCUUCUUCUUUUUA
rnacentral:tRNA from 1 species